GGCAAGAUGGCCGAGCGGUUAAGGCGCCAGAUUAAGGAAGCCCGAUUUUACGACGAACAUCGGGAUUCGGGACCAAGGCCGUUGUUGUCUUCUCAUAAAUCUGGUCCGAAAGGGCGCGGGUUCGAGUCCCGCUCUUGUCA